AUGCGGAAAGAACGACCCUGAGACGCAUACUCUCAGGGAGUGACGGUACCGCAGGAGGAAGCACCGGCUAACUCCGUGCCAGCAGCCGCGGUAAUACGGAGGGUGCAAGCGUUGUUCGGAAUUAUUGGGCGUAAAGGGCGCGUAGGCGGUAAUGCAAGUCAGAUGUGAAAUACUCCGGCUCAACUGGGGAACUGCAUCUGANACUGCAUAACUAGAGUACAGAAGAGGGAAACGGAAUUCCCGGUGUAGAGGUGAAAUUCGUAGAUAUCGGGAGGAACACCAGUGGCGAAGGCGGUUUCCUGGUCUGAUACUGACGCUGAGGCGCGAAAGUGUGGGGAGNAAACAGGAUUAGAUACCCUGGUAGUCCACACUGUAAACGGUGAACACUAGGUGUGGGAGGUGUAAUACCUUCCGUGCCGUAGCUAACGCGUUAAGUGUUCCGCCUGG
rnacentral:rRNA from 1 species